rnacentral:rRNA from 1 species
UACAGAGGGUGCGAGCGUUAAUCGGAUUUACUGGGCGUAAAGCGUGUGUAGGUGGCUACCUAAGUCGAUUGUGAAAUCCCUAGGCUCAACCUGGGAAUUGCAGUCGAUACUGGGAAGCUCGAGUUCGGUAGAGGACGGCGGAAUUCCCGGUGUAGCGGUGAAAUGCGUAGAUAUCGGGAGGAACAUCGAUGGCGAAAGCAACCGUCUGGGCCUGAACUGACACUGAGACACGAAAGCGUGGGGAGCAAACAGG